rnacentral:rRNA from 1 species
UACGAAGGACCCGAGCGUUAUCCGGAUUUAUUGGGUUUAAAGGGUGCGUAGGCGGAUCUUUAAGUCAGUGGUGAAAGCCCAUCGCUCAACGAUGGAAUUGCCAUUGAUACUGCAGAUCUUGAGUACAUUUGAGGCGGGCGGAAUGUGUCAUGUAGCGGUGAAAUGCUUAGAUAUGACACAGAACACCGAUUGCGAAGGCAGCUCGCUAAACUGUAACUGACGCUGAGGCACGAAAGCGUGGGGAUCAAACAGG